CUGCACGGUGGGCUGGUGCCCGACCUGCCCGGGACGCUGGAGCCCUGGUGCCCUUGCAGCAUGUGUGUCCCCUGGGAUGCGAUUGUCUGCUCUCUGCCCAGCUGUCCCAGCGGACAUGAGUGGGGGCCAGGGGCAGCCUCAACAUGACCCAGCUCAAGGCGAGGUACACAGGCAGCCUUGGAGGAUGCACAUGAGCCAUGACCUCACCACUCCCAUGGUCUCCAGUAUUCACAGCCACCCGAUACCUGGUCCUGGAUGUGCCACAGGCAGCUCUCACUGGCCGGGUCCAAAAGAGAAAGAACCCUUGGCUCCUCCACCCAGACGUCCUGUUUCCCCCUAUUGGUGGGACGCAGAACCCCACACCCAACUCUCAAGCCCAACUCGGCCUCCUGUCUUCUCCCUACCCUGGCACCUCGCUGCCCCCGAUCCUUCCAGCUUGACACCACUGGAACUCUAACCUCACGGUUUCCAGGCCUCUUGCUCCUGCUCCAACUUUUGACUCCUGAAAUCUAUCCCCCGCACAGCAGCAUGAGUCUGGUAUUGUUUUGUUGAAAUAAGAAUACGAUCCUGCCAUGGCUGUGCUGAGAACCAGCCAUGGGUUUCCCAUCACAUCUCAAACAGAAUUCAGAUUUCCUCCUGGGGCUGCGGGCCCUCUGGACUCAGGCCCGGUCUACUCACUGCGAAGGCCUCCUCCAGGACCUGCUCCUCCUCCAGCUUUCUCUGCCCUCUUUGGACACCUGUGCCUGAUCUUCUGCUCCCCCACCCUGCACCCCCCGCCCCGUCCAAACCUUCUGUUUUCUGCUGGCUGUUAGUGGGUGUCAGUCACUGAAAGAGAAUUAUGACUUUAGCCUCUCCCCGUCUGCGGAGCACCCACUCCAUGGGCCUCAGCGGGGCUGUGGCAGGUGCCCCCAGUAGGUCUGGACUACUAGAGAAAGGACAGAUAUGAACUCUGCCUCUACCACACUUGCUGCUAUGUCUAUCUCUCCAUCUUGCUUGCUGGUUUUUCUCUUAUCUUUGUAGCUCAUCUCUUGUCUCUGACUUAUCUCUGCAGUCUGGGGUGGGUUUUAAAAUUUGCUUUGUUUUUUUAAUCUUUGCAAGGUCUGUCCUCUUAUUUGAGUAUCUUUUUUGGGGGGAGGGGUACCGGGGAUCGGACUCUGGUCUUUGCGUUUGCAUAGCAGGCGGCCAAACCACUGAGCUAAGUCCCCGGCCCCUGCUUUGAGUGUCAUUUUGUCAGGGUCUGUCCUGUUCCUCUUCUCCCUUGCUGACCACCAACGACCCUGCCGCGUCUGUCCUUUCCCCACUUCGGGGGCUCUCCUGCCCUCCCAUUGUGCCUUCUCCAUCCCAUCUACCCUUCCUCCUUGCCCGCGGGCCAUCCCAGCUCCCCAGCUUCGCAGGGGUUCUUCCCCGACUCCACCUCCCUGAUCCACUCCUCCCACUCCAGCCCCAGAGGCCUCCCCUCCUCCUCCAACCCCUGCUGCUACUCAAGGUUGUCCCUGGCCACCUGUGCCACGGCUGACCUCGCCCCUGGGCCUGAGCAGGGUGUCUCCCCCAGACUGGGAGCCCGGGAGGGCAGGGUGGGGCGGACAGGGAGCACAUCCCUCUGCCAUCCCAGUGACCCUCGGACACACCCUGCCUCGCCCUCCCUGAGCUAUCAGCGCUGCUCCUAAUCCCUCCCCUGGCUUCUGCUCAAGUAGUUCCUUCCCCCCAGAAAGCCUUCUUUGCCCCCUAGCAGAACCUGCUGGUCCUUUUGGCACCCACACUGGGCACCACAUUCUCCAGGAAGUAUCCCCCGUCCUGUGUUCCUGCUUACAGCUCCAGCUGCUCCGACUGAGCUGCCCUUUGGACGACGCUAAGCUCCCGGGCAGCAGGGUUGGGCCUGCGCACCUCGGGGCUCGCCGAGCCCGACCAGGCAUCUGGCACAGCAACAGACAUCAGCGGGUGAGUGCUUGAAUUAAUGAGUGGAACGAGGAUCCCUAAGUCUCCGUGACUCCCUGCCCACCAGCCUCCUCAGCUGUGCUUCCUCCCGUGGGACGGUGGGUUCCCAGGGCCCGUGACAGGCGCUGGGUUCCUGUCUUCGCUCUGCGCACCGUGCUGUCCGCUCCUACGUCAAGCCAUUCCCUAACCUACAGGUCGCCGCCCAACCCGGCCCUGCCUGUCUCCAGCCUCUUCCCCCACCCACUCCAACUCACUCUGGAAGCUCCCUCCUGCCCCCGAGCCUUGACGCACGCUGUUCUCUGCGGGGACACCUGGUCCCAGCCCCACCCCCUGCCCGCUGGGGUUACCCCUUCCCCACGGAGCCUUCAGCGGCAUCUCCGAUUUCUCCUGCACCCUAACUGACUUAGUGUGUAUGUGCGUGACUCUGAUUCAUGUCUGGCUCAUGCCCAAGAUGUAAACUCUAUGAGGACGUCAGGAAUGCUACUUCCUCCCUCUGCUUGCCCAGCGUUCCACACGACCCCUGGCAGCGAAGCGCACAAAGGAGUGGCCGUGGUGAAUGAAUGAACCCGUCCGUGCCAGCGCCGCCUUAGUACCAGCACCUGACACAGCAGGUGCGAGUGAGCCCUUGUGGAGACGUGAAGACGUGAGCGCAUGCGCGGACGCCCGGGAUCCGCCUCCUGCCUCCCUGCCGGGAGCUGGGUCCCGAUGUAGUGCGAGGAAUAGUUGUAGGUGACUCUAGGUUCGGAGUGAAGGCCCCUCUCCAGGAGUUGGGCCGGGCUGGGCUGGAGUCCCUCCCUCCCCUCCUCCCGCCCCGCCCCCACAUGCACACACCAAAACAUUAAAAAAAAAUCUCAAAACUGCAAAAAACACCAUGGCCCUCCCCCCUCCCCCUGAAUCCCACCAAAAAAAUAAAACACGUCGCUCGCCAGGGCCCCUCCCCUUCUUCCUCCUCUCCCCGGGGUCCCUGCUUCGGAGGGGGAAGGAAGGACGGCCCCGCGCCCCGGGCCGGGGGCGCGCGAGGGGCGAAGGCCACGCAGUCUGCAGGGUGCGCGCGGGGAGGGGCGGGGCGCCCGGCCCGGCUGCCCCUUGGCACUCGCCGCGCACGCGCCCUGCACGCGCCC
rnacentral:lncRNA from 1 species